ACAAUUAUUUUGCCUUAUAUAAAUCACCAAUGUAAAAUUUUAAAGAAAUCUAAAAUAAUAUUUUAAUAUGUUAUUGGGAACUAUCCAGAUAUAACUUGAGAAAAUAAGAUACUGAGGAUUUUACAUUACUAGCCUUUCAAUUUAGACUUCCACGUAAGCAUUUGUGAGGGCAGUUUAGACUAAGCACAUUUAUUUCUUUGACUUAAACAAAUCUGAGUUAAAGUACAAGGAAAUACACUUUUUUUUUUACUUUCCUUAGCUUUUGCUGACCGAUGGGACUGUGUCCUUCACAAAAUAGUCUUUUUAAUUCCCACUCUUUUUUGUACCGUAUUUGAAUUUCAAAUGCUUCAUUAUCCUCACACUAUCUCAUUUCAAUUUCAUUAUCUCACCUUUCUCUGGAACAUCUAUAGUUGUUAUUGAAGAAGAAGUACAUGGGUUCAUUUUCAUUACCACAACAGAUUAUACAUAAAGACUACAACUACGAGGAGAAAACAAGAACCAAUAUUUGAUUCAGGAACUCAGACAAAGAAGACAUCCUCAGAUAUAAAGAUGAAAGAACAAAGUAAAUAGCAUGAGAUGUAGCAAUAACAGAAACAAUUAUUUAUUAUUUCCGGCGGGGCGGUGACAAUUUCCGGCACGGUGGAUACAAUUUCCGGCACGGUGGUUAUUUGCAAAAUAUUCCGAUCUUAAUUAUUCUUUGUGGGUUUUGUAGAGGAGAAGGAGGAGGGUUUUUUUAUGGUGAUGAUUUUUCAAAAAGUGGUGUUUGAUGAUCGAUCUCUAGAUCUAAAAAAAUGAUAACCACCACUCUUAGAAAAAAAAAACAUAAGAGAAAGAUUAUGAAGAAUAACGUUUAACAGGGUGAUAAAGAUGAGAUUUGAGGGUAACAAAACCAAGUUGGAGGGAUUUAAGGGUUGCCGGCGGCUAGGGUUUGUUUGUAGGAGAGAGCUUUACAAAAUUUCUUAGUUGAAGAGAGAGAAAGAAAUUAGCAAAUGAGUAGAUUGUAAGCUUAUCAAAAAAAAGCUUAUAAAAAAAAAAGUAGAUUGUAAAUUAAACUCUUAUGUUGGAGUUCACGUGAAAUAAAAUACUAGAAUGUAGACAAAAAAAAAAUCAAUGAUAUGGACUUCAAAUAAACUUCAAUUGA